CAGAGUUGGAGGUCGGAGCUCCGCGCGGGGCGCCCCAGCCCCAGCCGGCCAGCCCACGCCGCGUCGCGCUGCUCGCUGCAGCCGCCCCGCCCGACCGGCCCCGAGCUGCGCGGCACCCGCUCGUGGCUCGCCGCUCCCGCUCGCGACAGCGGCGCAGCCACGCAGGCAGGCUGCUCUGAUGGAGGAGGAGGAGGAGGAGGAUUUGGUGGGCGCGGGCCACGGGAGUGGGCGUGGCAGGGGAGAAGCUGAAGGAGAGCGAGAGGGAGUAGCAGGCCGAGGCUGAGGUACAGGCGCCCCAAAACACCAACAGUCAUUCCUCUUCUGCAAGCAAUUGGGAAGAAAAAAAAUUGUAACAAGAGAUUUGAAGUCAUUUUCUUUUCAAGUAUGAGUGUUGGUUCUGGAUCCUGCCCCAAGUACCCAUGAAAAUCAAAUUGGUGUGGCUGUGGAAUCUGAAGAAAUACAUCAACAAGUAGUUGUAGUUUCUCAAGUUGAAUCAACUGAACAAGCACAAGCCCAAACAGAUCAAGCACAAACUCACGAUGAAGAAGAAGAAUAAGAAAGUGCAGAGAUGAGGUUAAUAAGGCUUAUUUGUUCAAGGGUCCAACCCAACCUAGAGGUCUCUUAGCUCUUGGAAUGUUGGAUUUCAGUCUUUAAUUUGGACACCUUUUCUUGUUCGGUUGGUCUCUGUUGAAUUAAUGGACUACUAUCUUCAAAUGAGAGGUUGCUGCAGCACCAACCGAAGGGAUGAAGGAGGAGGGAUCACCAACAGACACACUGCUGUGUUCCUUAUUACUGAGUCAACUAACUGUGGCAUGUAUAUGUCUAUGUCUACCUGUAUAUGUAUAUAGAAGCGAAAAUGUAUGGAGGGGACUUUCUUGCGCUGUGUACAGUAGUGUGAACAUGCAGAAACAAGUGGAGCUGGAAAAUUCAAGGAAGUGCUGAGGAUGAUUCUUCCUACUUGGCAGUGAUGCUAUACUAUUUAAAGUUUAGGACUUUCUUGCGCUGUGUACUACUACUAACGAACAUGCUGAGGACUUUCUUGCGCUGUUUACUAUACUCCCUCGGUAUCAAAAAAGUGUAUUUCAGAUUUUAUCAGAGUUAAACUAUUUAAAGUUUGACUAAAUUAUGGUUUGAUGCUAUAAAGAUAUAUUAAAUGAUAAAUCUAAUAAUACUUAUUUGA